rnacentral:piRNA from 1 species
UGCAACAAAGUUGCCACACGGAGUGAUCGGC